rnacentral:rRNA from 1 species
UACCAGCACCCCGAGUGGCGGGACGUUUAUUGGGCCUAAAGCAUCCGUAGCCGGUUCUACAAGUCUUCCGUUAAAUCCAACUGCUUAACAGGUGGGCUGCGGAAGAUACUAUAGAGCUAGGAGGCGGGAGAGGCAAGCGGUACUCGAUGGGUAGGGGUAAAAUCCGUUGAUCCAUUGAAGACCACCAGUGGCGAAGGCGGCUUGCCAGAACGCGCUCGACGGUGAGGGAUGAAAGCUGGGGGGAGCAAACCGG